rnacentral:tRNA from 1 species
GGCCUGAUGGUCUAGUGGUAUGAUUGUUGCUUCGGGAGGAUAUCCCUGUCCGUACGGACAUCAUUGUGACAGGCCCCGGGUUCAAAUCCCGGUCAGGCCC